AUUGAACGCUGGCGGCAGGCCUAACACAUGCAAGUCGAACGGUAACAGGAAACGGCUUGCUGUUUCGCUGACGAGUGGCGGACGGGGGAGUAAUGUCUGGGAAACUGCCUGAUGGAGGGGGAUAACUACUGGAAACGGUAGCUAAUACCGCAUAACGUCGCAAGACCAAAGAGGGGGACCUUCGGGCCUCUUGCCAUCGGAUGUGCCCAGAUGGGAUUAGCUAGUAGGUGGGGUAACGGCUCACCUAGGCGACGAUCCCUAGCUGGUCUGAGAGGAUGACCAGCCACACUGGAACUGAGACACGGUCCAGACUCCUACGGGAGGCAGCAGUGGGGAAUAUUGCACAAUGGGCGCAAGCCUGAUGCAGCCAUGCCGCGUGUAUGAAGAAGGCCUUCGGGUUGUAAAGUACUUUCAGCGGGGAUGAAGGGAGUAAAGUUAAUACCUUUGCUCAUUGACGUUACCCGCAGAAGAAGCACCGGCUAACUCCGUG
rnacentral:rRNA from 1 species